UUGACCUCGAAUCAGGUAGGAAUACCCGCUGAACUUAAGCAUAUCAAUAAGCGGAGGAAAAGAAACCAACAGGGAUUGCCCCAGUAACGGCGAGUGAAGCGGCAACAGCUCAAAUUUGAAAUCUGGCUCUCGGGCCCGAGUUGUAAUUUGUAGAGGAUGCUUUUGGUGAGGUGCCUUCCGAGUUCCCUGGAACGGGACGCCAUAGAGGGUGAGAGCCCCGUCUGGUUGGACACCGAUCCUCUGUAAAGCUCCUUCGACGAGUCGAGUAGUUUGGGAAUGCUGCUCUAAAUGGGAGGUAUAUGUCUUCUAAAGCUAAAUACCGGCCAGAGACCGAUAGCGCACAAGUAGAGUGAUCGAAAGAUGAAAAGAACUUUGAAAAGAGAGUUAAACAGUACGUGAAAUUGUUGAAAGGGAAGCGCUUGUGACCAGACUUGGGCUUGGUUGAUCAUCCGGGGUUCUCCCCGGUGCACUCUUCCGGCCCAGGCCAGCAUCAGUUCGCCCUGGGGGACAAAGGCUUCGGGAAUGUGGCUCUCUCCGGGGAGUGUUAUAGCCCGUUGCGUAAUACCCUGUGGCGGACUGAGGUUCGCGCAUC
rnacentral:rRNA from 3 species